AGGCGGAGCGGGGGUAGGCUGGCGGCGGAGAUGGUAUCGGAGGCGGAGAGUGAGGAGGCAGGAAAGUCUAGACUGUACACGAGGAAGUGUAGCAGCGGCAGUACGCGGCAGAUGGCGGACGAGGCUGGGAGACGUGUCGGAGGAGAUGUGGUCAGGCAAGCACCGAACAACCGGUAGCGAGAGAGGUAGAGGCCGUGGCAAGGGGCGGUCGAGAGGCGUGCCACGGUAGAGGAGGUUUGACAUUUAGCCGCGCGCAUGUCCUAAACCGAACCAGUUAAACAAGAGUUCCUGAUACAUCAUUCAUGGUAGAACUGUUUCCGUAGUCGUCCUUGUAUUAAAUAAAAGUGGCACGUAAUCGUUCAAGACACGCAUGUGACGAAAACAGAAUACAAGCCUGUUGUCCACGUGUGAUCAUCUUUUCUCCCGAAACCAGGUCCGGUCCAAACGGGUAAU
rnacentral:rRNA from 1 species